UUUACACCUGAAGGCAAAACGUAAAACUUUUGACUACGGUACGAUCAGCGACUGGGGUGAAGUCGUAACAAGGUAGCCGUAGGGGAACAUGCGGCUGGAUCACCUCCUUUCUAAGGAAAUCGAAAAAUAUUAAAUCAAUUAUUUUCGAUUUAAAAAAAUAGGUUAAUGUGACCGUCCUCAUUUCUCUUCUUUUAAUGUCUCUGAGUAAUUGUAAAUAAGGGGCCGGUAGCUCAGGUGGUUAGAGCGCACCCCUGAUAAGGGUGAGGUCGGAAGUUCGAGUCUUCCUCGGCCCACCAAUAUUAUGGGGGAUUAGCUCAGCUGGGAGAGCGCCUGAUUUGCAUUCAGGAGGUCAGCGGUUCGAUCCCGCUAUCCUCCACCAAAUUUGGGACAUUGAGCUUUUUUAAAUUGUAAAUAUUAUUAAUAUCAAUAUCUAUAUCCGAUUGUUUUCAGAUAUUUUUUUGAAAACAAUCAAAACAAAAAUUUAAUUUAUUACAGAAAAGUUUUUUUCUGUGCAUAAAUCAAGCGUUUAAGGGCGAUUGGCGGAUGCCUUGGCACUGUAAGACGAUGAAGGACGUGGUAUACUGCGAUAAGUUUCGGGGAGCUGUAUGCAGGCUUUGAUCCGAAAAUUU
rnacentral:misc_RNA from 1 species